rnacentral:rRNA from 1 species
UGGGGAAUAUUGCGCAAUGGGCGAAAGCCUGACGCAGCCAUGCCGCGUGUGUGAAGAAGGCCUUAGGGUUGUAAAGCACUUUCAAUUGGGAGGAAAAGCUAACGAUUAAUACUCGUUAGCCCUGACGUUACCUUUAGAAGAAGCACCGGCUAACUCCGUGCCAGCAGCCGCGGUAAUACGGAGGGUGCAAGCGUUAAUCGGAAUUACUGGGCGUAAAGCGCGCGUAGGCGGCUUGUUAAGUCGGAUGUGAAAGCCCCGGGCUCAACCUGGGAACUGCACCCGAUACUGGCAAGCUAGAGUACGAGAGAGGGGGGUAGAAUUCCAUGUGUAGCGGUGAAAUGCGUAGAUAU